rnacentral:rRNA from 1 species
CACGUAGGGGGCGAGCGUUGUCCGGAAUCAUUGGGCGUAAAGCGCGCGUAGGCGGCCCUGUAAGUCCGUUGUGAAAGUCAAAGGCUCAACCUUUGAAUGCCGAUGGAUACUGCAGGGCUAGAGUCCGGAAGAGGCGAGUGGAAUUCCUGGUGUAGCGGUGGAAUGCGCAGAUAUCAGGAGGAACACCAACGGCGAAGGCAGCUCGCUGGGACGGUACUGACGCUAAGGCGCGAAAGCCAGGGGAGCAAACGGG